rnacentral:rRNA from 1 species
GACGAACGCUGGCGGCGUGCUUAACACAUGCAAGUCGAACGGAAAGGCCCUGCUUUUGUGGGGUGCUCGAGUGGCGAACGGGUGAGUAACACGUGAGUAACCUGCCCUUGACUUUGGGAUAACUUCAGGAAACUGGGGCUAAUACCGGAUAGGAGCUCCUGCUGCAUGGUGGGGGUUGGAAAGUUUCGGCGGUUGGGGAUGGACUCGCGGCUUAUCAGCUUGUUGGUGGGGUAGUGGCUUACCAAGGCUUUGACGGGUAGCCGGCCUGAGAGGGUGACCGGGCAGAUAGGGGAAGAGAGAGCGACAUGGCGGGUAGGGGAGGCAGGAAGGGGGGAGGGUGGAAAAUGGGCGUGAGAGUGAUGCAGCAGUGCCGCGUGGGGGGAGAGGGGGGUGGGGUUAGAGACAAAGUAAGCCGGUGAAGAAGAGGGAGGAGAGGAAAAGGGUAAAGAAGGAAAGGCAAAAUACAUG